UACAGAGGGGGCAAGCGUUGUUCGGAAUUACUGGGCGUAAAGGGCGCGUAGGCGGCCUUCUAAGUCGAACGUGAAAUCCCCGGGCUCAACCCGGGAACUGCGUCCGAUACUGGAAGGCUUGAAUCCGGGAGAGGGAUGCGGAAUUCCAGGUGUAGCGGUGAAAUGCGUAGAUAUCGGGAAGAACACCAGUGGCGAAGGCGGCUACCUGGAUUGACACUGACACUGAGAUACGAAAGCGUGGGGAGCAAACAGG
rnacentral:rRNA from 1 species